AGAGUUUGAUUAUGGCUCAGGAUGAGCGCUGGCGGCGUGCUUAACACAUGCAAGUCGAACGCUGAAGCUCCCAGCUUGCUGGGGUGGAUGAGUGGCGAACGGGUGAGUAUCACGUGAGUAACCUGCCCUUGACUCUGGGAUAAGCCCGGGAAACUGGGUCUAAUACUGGAUAGGACUGGCCAUCGCAUGGUGGUUGGUUGAAAGCUUUUGCGGUUUUUGGAUGGACUCGCGGCCUAUCAGCUUGUUGGUGGGGUAAUGGCCUACCAAGGCUUUGACGGGUAGCCGGCCUGAGAGGGUGACCGGCCACACUGGGACUGAGACACGGCCCAGACUCCUACGGGAGGCAGCAGUGGGGGAUAUUGCACAAUGGGCGCAAGCCUGAUGCAGCGACGCCGCGUGAGGGAUGACGGCCUUCGGGUUGUAAACCUCUUUCAGUUGGGAAGAAGCCUUUCGGGGUGACGGUACCUUCAGAAGAAGCACCGGCUAACUACGUGCCAGCCGCCGC
rnacentral:rRNA from 1 species